rnacentral:lncRNA from 1 species
GGCAACAAGCCUCGUAGUGGAAGCGUGCAAGAACGCUUCGGGCGAGACCCAAGACCCCGAUGUCACAAAGGAAUUCUGUUUGUCGACCCUCCAGUCGGACAAGCGGAGCGCCGAGGCUAAAGACCUCCCUGGCUUGGUGCUCGUCUCCAUCGACAUCCUUAAGGGCCGUGUCACUGAUGCUAGUGUCAAGGUCAAGAAAAUGCUACGAAACGCCAAAAAAGGCACAAUGGCGAUGCACGCUCUCAGUAUUUGUGAGCUGCAAUAUGAGAACGUGGUGAGCACGCUCAACAUCUGCCAAGCCAUGAUUAAGGAUCACCAAGGUGACAAGGGCAUCCUGCAGUCCUUGCGUCUGCCCCACUGUGUGGAUAUCGCCUGCGACACUUCCAACGAGUGCCAAACUGAUCUUGAAGAUGUGCCAGGGACGGAGGCGCUGCAAAUUGAUAACGAGAGGCUGCGCAUUCUGUUCAACCUCAACGCCGCCUUGGUUGUACCAUAUGAUGUCCGUGAUUAGAAUAGUAUAAUGAUUGUUUUUUAUCUGCGAGAAAGGAUAAUAAAUUUGAAAUAAUAAUCAUAACGUUUGCUGUGGCAUAAAUUUGACUCAUUUUUGUCUUAUGGUAUAUACCCAUGGAUGGUUAUGAUCAUCCACACAACAUUAAUCACGAACAGAAAUGAGUAAGCCAGAAUGUUAGUACUAUUUGGAUAAAGAAUAUAUACCUCUAGCACGUCUACACAAUAUAUAUCUGCUAUCUUUGAAUAUGAUGAAGAUAAAAGGAACUUGACGUGUAGAGCAAGGCGGGCAUUGGCCAUCCCAUGUCUCGAUCGCCUCCAGAAAGCUGGCACGGCACGUUUGGUGGCUAUGCUAACCUUAUGCUUUGUGUUGGCUUUGUUUUUUCCUUUGCUAGCUAAUGCGUUAGCAUGCACACUGUAACUGGCCGGCAUUCUUUGUCCUCCUUCUAAUCAAUCCAAAUACGCGGCUCUCCUGUAAAUCUCGAGUGCAUGGAUCCUUGCUACAGCGUCAAGGAGAUAUGAGUUGGUCGCGCUGCUGAACCCCUCCUUUUUUUGGAUGAUUUGUAGCUGUAUUGGGAUUUCAGCCGAGGAUUUGUUAUUUGUGAUGUUGGAUGUUGUCCCAUGUUUGUGCAGGAUUGGAUACAUCAUGAUCACUGAUGUCAAGAAGGGUUCAUCGUCCUAAUGAAGCUGAGUAAGAUCGACUGCCUCUUUGGUGCUUCUGCAAUUGGGAAUUAUGUUACUUGUGACUUGAGUGGCUUUGGAGAACAGAGCUUACUUGCACUUCCUGGAAUAUAAUCAUCAUUUGUGAUUUUGCUAUGUAUUCACUAGUAGAAAACAGACUUUACGUUCGGAUCAUUAGUCCCGGUUUGGAUUCGGCCCGGGACUAAUGUGACUAUUAGUCCCGGUUUCAACGGCUAGGAGCGUGUCCCGGUUUGUGUUACAAACCGGUACUAAAUGGGCUCUUGGGCCCCAGCCUGACGCCCCUUUAGUCCCGGUUUGUACCACAAACCGGGACUAAUGAUGCUCGUGCCUCCGAUCGCUCCUAGCCGUUGGAACCGGGACUAAUGAUGCCCGUGCCCCAGACCGCUCUUACAUAAACCCUUCGUCCAGCCCAAGCCCAUUCUCUCUGUUUUCCCCUUUCUCUCCUCUGUUCUUCCACUUGCUCGAGCUCUUCCUCCAUUUUUGCCAAGAUUUGUCAAAAUAUGGAGACACCCCAUCUAUCCAAGUGUUCACAAAGGUUAGCAACUUUGUCCUUUCAUCCCUCAUUGCUAGAUUAGCUCGUGCAAUGCUCUAUAAGUAUAGUGAUUUGUGGGUUUUAGUUUGGGAGUUUGUUUGAUUUAUAUGCAAUUUGAGCAAAAGUUAACUUCUUAGUUUGCAUGUGUGUAGUUGUGGUUUCUGGGUAUCAAGAGGGAAUGUGUCCGGUUUGUGCAGGAAGUGCGGGGCAUGUUGCUCCGGUGGCCUUGAAACUUCGUGUGCUCCCAAAGGAGGCCAUCGCAUGACACGUGCCACGCCCCCCGCAUUUUCCAGGCACGUGUGCAAUAUUCGAGAAAUUUAUUGCUCUGCUAGGGUUUCAUCGCCGAAAAUUCUAGAUCUGCAAGGCACCACAUGAAAUUAUGCCCGGAAGUGGCAUGGGAAAUCCUGUGUGAUGUCAUAGGAAAAUAAAGACCGAGCACCUAUCUGAUGGCCCUCGCCCGGUUCUACAGACCAAGCACCCAUCCGGUGGCCCCUACGGUCUAGGGCGUUGACCGGCACCGAGAGGGGGUAGGCCACGGUGAACAACUGCUUCUUCGUGUUACGAAAGGUCAUCGCGAGAUGACAAACCAAGUCUAAGCCCGUUCUGUCACGGGAUCGCCCACCGAAGACUCGGUUUCGCAGAGGGCCAAGCAAAUGCCCGAGUUGAGAGAUAUGAAGUCUCCAACAAGUUCUAUAGCUGCAAGAUGGAGGAGAACCAUUCUGUCAGUGAGCACAUACUCAGAAUGUCUAGGUAUCAUAACCACUUGACUCAGCUGGGAGUUAAUCUUCGGGAUGAUAGUGUUAUUGACAGAGUUCUUCAAUCACUGCCACCAAGCUACAAAGGCUUCAUGGUGAACUAUAAUAUGCAAGGGAUGGAUAAGAAAGUUUUAUUGCUAUUGCUUUCUUCAUGACUUAUACAUAUUCGUUUGACUAUGAGAUUAUGCAACUCCCGGAUACCGGAGGAAUACCUUGUGUGCUAUCAAACGUCACAACGUAACUGGGUGAUUAUAAAGAUGCUCUACAGGUAUCUCCGAAGUUGUUUUGUUGGGUCGGCAUAGAUCGAGAUUAGGAUUUGUCACUCCGAGUAUCAGAGAGGUAUCUUGGGCCCUCUCAGUAAUGCACAUCAUGAUAAGCCUUGCAAGCAAUGUGACUAAAGAGUUAGUUACGGGAUGAUGUAUUACGGAACGAGUAAAGAGACUUGCCGGUAACGAGAUUGAACUAGGUAUGAAGAUACCGACCACCGAAUCUCGGGCAAGUAACAUACCGAUGACAAAGGGAAUAACGUAUGUUGUCAUUACGGUACGACCAAUAAAGAUCUUCGUAGAAUAUGUGGGAACCAAUAUGAGCAUCCAGGUUCCGCUGUUGGUUAUUGACCGGAGAGGUGUCUCGGUCAUGUCUACAUAGUUCUCGAGCCCGUAGGGUCAGCACGCUUAAUGUUCGAUGACGAUUUGUAUUAUAUGAGUUAUGUGAUUUGGUGACCGAAUGUUGUUCGGAGUUCCGGAUGAGAUCAAGGACAUGACGAGGAGUCUUGAAAUUGGUCAAGAGGUAAAGAUUGAUAUAUUGGAUGAUAGUAUUCGGACACCGGAAGUGUUCCGGGAUGUAUCGGGUGCAUAUUGGAGUACCGGGGGGGCUUACCGGAACCCCCCGGGAAAAAAUAUGGGCUAUAUGGGCCAUAGGAGGGAGGCACACCAGCCCACACUAGGGGUGGCGCGCCCCCCACAGGGAUGGAGGCCGAAUAGGACUAGGAGAGGGGGUGGCGCCCCCCUUUCCUUCUCCCCCUCUCUCUCUUUCCCCCUUUCCCCUUCUGGUAAAAGGAAAGGGGGGCCGAAUCCAACUAGGAGCCCAAGUAGGAUUCCUCCUACUUGGGCGCGCCUAGGGCUGGCCACCUCCCCCUCCCUCCUUUAUAUACGUAGGGGGGGGGGGCUACAACACACAUCAAUUAUUCCAGGCCGUGUGGGGCGCCCCUCCACAGUUUACGCCUCCGGUGGUCCCGCACCUGCCAGGAUUCCGGGUCCGCAAUAAGGCUCUUCAGCUUGCAUCUUCGACACGGACAUCUUAUCUCCGUCUCGUUCUUUUGAAGCAUCUCGGCCUUCGCGGACCUCAAAAACCUAUUCACGAUGCCUUCGGUCAUCAUGCGGACCAUGGUCGCCUGCGGAGUAGAGCAAAACGAUAUUUUAGAACCAAGAAAAAAUUUGGCAUGACUUUUCCUAAAAAUAGGACCAAAAAGAAUGCUUAAUGCCAAAAUUCUCGCCGAAACGGAAAUGAAUCAACAUUCCGGCAAAAUAUUGGCAACUAUCGCAUUUCAAAUACCGGUACACCUCCAAACACAAACACAUAUGCAACACCACAAACAUAUGCAACACCACGAACAUACAUAGAUCUAGCUAGGCCAUAAAAAGUGCAUGUGCACAUUGUUGUAGGGAGAACAAUAUAAAUAUAGCUUCCCCCUUACUUACCUAUCAAAACAAGGUAAUUUAACCACUUAAAUUGAAUGAAUCUAUGAUGGAAAUGAGGUGAAAAAGAGGAGGCACCCGAGACAAGGAGGAGGUGGAGAGAAUGAAGUGGGGAGAAAGUGAGUGUGGGUAGGAGAGGCUGUCCAAAAUAUCUUGUUGCUGCCCACUUACUAAUGGCGCACCAACUCUAAAUGUGCCAUUAGUAAUCCAGGUUACUAAUGGCGCACCCUCUGGUGGUGCGCCAUUAGUAUGUUUGGACAGGUGCACUAGUUAAAAAAAAUUGAUACUAAUGGCGCACCCUGGACCUGGUGUCUGGAUGCGCCAUUAGUAUGUUUGGACAGGCGCACUAGUUAAAAAAAAUUUUGAUACUAAUAGCGCAACCUGAGACAGGUGCGCCAUUACUAGUUACAACUAGUAAUGGCGCACUGUGUCUGGAUGCGCCAUUAGUAUGUUUGGACAAGCGCACUAGCUAGUUAAAAAAAAUUGAUACUAAUGGCGCACCCUGGGCCAGGUGCGCCAUUACUAGUUGCAACUAGUAAUGGCGCACUCUGUCUGGAUGCGCCAUUAGUAUGUUUGGACAGGCGCACUAGUUAAAAAAAAAUUUGAUACUAAUAGCGCACCCUGCGCCUGGUGCGCCAUUAGUAGUUUCAACUCUAAUGACGUAUCAGAAGGUGGUGCGCCAUUAGUAUAUACUAAUGGCGUAUCGCUUGUCUGGUGCGCCAUUAGUGUCAAUCCCAUCUAUAACCCUUUUUCUAGUAGUGCAAAGUGGGAGGGGACGACUCGCAGGAACUUCCACACACGAUCCCCUCGUCGUCAACAGUGUCCUACCUGUAACUAUGUACUACUAUUAAGAAUGUGACGUGAAUCAAAAAGAUAAUGUAGUAAUGUACUAUGAUUUGAAAAGGUAUAACCGCGUAGGGAUUGGAGCGAGCGUUACAAACUAACUAUCCAAGUAUUAUCUUUGGGCGAUCAAUACUACUUAGUGCCGGUUAACAAGUCUUGUGUUGCUACCAUGCCCAUCAGUCAGUUUUCAUGGGGUUUUCGGAAUAUAUUCGCAGGGAGACCUGGAAAGGGUCCGCUUUCAACGGGGACAGAUGUACGGUGAUAUACUCGUCAUGACAUGUGGAAGAUUUUGAAACGGUCAUUACAUGUCAUCGGAGAGCCAACAAUCAAAAUUUGAACAGGAGAAAAAUAAUGCAGGGUGGAAUACUUCUAUCCCCCUUAGCGAGUCUCAACGCAAGUGCUUGCAUAAGCGAUUAUCAUAGGCGGAGCCAGGAUUUAGGCAUAGGGAGGAGGGGGGCUUUACUCAAAAGACAAAAGCUAGUAUUGGGCUUUUCUCUCAAGUUAUAUAUUACUAGGCUUCAGUUGGUGGCAGUUGGAUACCCUCAAAAAAAUAAGUUGGUGGCAGUUUUGUUUUUCCAAUACUUGUUAAAUUUAACUAAGACAAGCUUACGUACAUAUAGGACGAGACUGACCGAGACGUUGUUAUAUUUAACUCUUUUAUCUCUAGCAGGUUAUUUCAUUCGGUUAACUUUUUCUAGUUUAUUUUUUGUUGGCUUGGGCUUUAAUUAUGUUUUGUAAGUGUUUUUUCGUUUUUAUAUCGUGUCGCGAUGUUGUUGGAGACUAUAUUUGUUCGGAGUUGUUCGAUGCGUGGUUGUGGUGUCCUUACAUCAAUGUCGGUCAGUGGUUGUUAUUUGAGCCCAUCCCAUUCAGAGCUCUUAAUCCACGCUGAAUAUAUGAAAAUUGUUGUUAUAAUGCUCACAUGGGUCGGCCAACAAAACUCUCGCUCGCACAACUCGGCUUCCUGUUCCGCUCGCUCGCUCGCUUAGCUUUUGUUUUGCUCCACAGCUUACUACUAGCUUAGGAAAACCGUCUAUCAUUUUCUUAUUUGAAUUUUUUUGCUAAAUUCAAGGAAGGCACGGGUUUAAAAAAAUAUCUGGUUUUAGAAAACAUGAAUUUUAAAAAAUGUUCCCAAAGUUAAAAAAAUAUUCAUGGAUUCCAAACAAACACGAAUUUGAAAAAGGUACACAAAUUUAGAAGAUUUCAAAGACUAUAAAAAUAUUCAUGAACUUUAGAAAUAUUCAUAAGUAAAAAAGUGUUCAUUAAUUUUCAAAAAUGUUCAUGAAUUUUAAAAAUAACUCAACAUCCUAAAUUGUUCAAGAAUUUUAAUAAACAUUGCUGAAUUAAAAUGUAAAUCAAAUAUAAGAAUCAAAAAUCAAAAAGAAAGUAUAGAAAUGAAAAACUAUUAAAAAAAGAGUAGCAAAAAAACAAAGCAACACCUUAAAACUGGGAAAACAGGUCGGUCCAUUUCGGCUAGGUGUGUGUGUUACUUCUAACUAGCAACACACACAUUACAGGCCUGGCCCAUAGCUAAUUUUUUCUAAAUAAUACAUUUUUUUAUUAAUUUUCAUAAAUAUUAUGCUGGAUAAAAAAAAUUCAAAAAUAAUACACCGUCGGCCCGCUGCUGGCCGACUGGGCCUAGUCGGCCCACAGCAGGCCGAUUGGACUCCAGUCGGCCUACAGCUGGCCGACUGGCCCCUGUCGGCCCACUGUGGGCUGAUUGGGUCCUGUCAGCCCACUGUAGGCCGACUGGAGCUAAUUGGCUCGCUGAGGGCUAAUUGUUUUUGCAGAAAAAGUAGGCAUAAAAAAUAUAUGUUUAAAAAAAGUUAAUCAUGUAAUUAAAAAAUGUUAAACGCGUAUAAAAAAAUGUUUCUGAUGUAUACAAAAAAUGUACAAUAUAUAUGCAAAAAAGUUGACUAAAAUAUGUUUUAAAAAGUUUUAAUCAUGUAUUUAAAAAUUGUUAAAUGUGUGUAUAAAAAAUGUUCCUUAUCUAUACAAAAAAUAUAGAAUGUGUAUGAAAAAAGUUGACACCCAAAAAAUAUGUUUGAAAAAAAUGUUAAUCAUGUAUUUGAAAAAAUGUUCCUUAUCUAUACAAAAACUAUAGAAUGUGUAUGAAAAAAAAUUGACACCAAAAAAUAUGUUUGAAAAAAAUGUUAAUCAUGUAUUUGAAAAAAUGUUCAACAAGUACACAAAAAUGUUUCAUGUAUUAGAAUGAAAGGUUAAACGUGUAUAAAAAAUGUUCCAGCUCCGGAUCCGGUAUGGGAGCAUCCCGGACGUAAGUAUGAUUGGUUGCUCUUUUUGUAUGGAACUGGAACAUUUUUUUCAAACAUAUUUUUUUGGUGUCAACUUUUUUUCAUACACAUUCUAUAUUUUUUGAAUAGAUAAGAAACAUUUUUUAUACACACAUUUAACAAUUUUUAAUCAUGUAUUUGUAAAAAUGUCAACUUUUCAAACUUAUUUUUUUGGUGUCAAAUUUUUUUCAUACACAUUCUAUAUUUUUUGUAUAAAUAAGGAACAUUUUUUAUACACACAUUUAACAAUUUUUAAAUACAUGCUUAACACUUUUUAAAACUUAUUUUUUAUGUCAACUUUUUUGCAUAUAUAUUGUACAUUUUUUGUAUACAUCAGAACAUUUUUUAUACACGUUUAACAUUUUUUAGUUACAUGAUAAACAUUUUUUAAACAUAUAUUUUUUAUGCCUACUUUUUUUGCAAAAACAAUUAGCCCACAGCGAGCCAAUUAGCUUCAAUCGGCCCACAGUGGGCCGACAGGACGCAAUCAGCCCACAGUGGGCCGACAGGGGCCAGUCGGCCAGCUGUAGGCCCACUGGAAUCCAAUCGGCCUGCUGUGGGCCGACUAGGCCCAGUCGGCCUGCAGCGGGCCGACGGUGUAUUAUUUUUGAAAUUUUUUUAUCCAGCGUAAUAUUUAUGAAAAUUAAUAAAAAAAUGUAUUAUUUAAAAAAAAGCCGCCCUCACAGCCCUCGAUGCACCAAGCGGAUCUAAAUCUAGAAAGCUUAUUAACGAAUAAAAAUGAGAAAAAAUAAAAUUGAAAAUAAUAAUAAUAAUCAAACGAACAAAGAAAAACAAUAAGGAAAUUAUUUUAAAAGUUCACAACAGAAAAGAAAGAAAAGCAUAAGUCAGACAGUACCUUCACAAAAUGGGGAAAAGUGGCAAUCCAUUGCAGCUAGGCGUGUGUUACUGUAACACCCACAAUGCGGCUAUAUCUCCGACGUGUCGAGGCACGACUUAGAGGCAUAACCGCAUUGUGGUUUUGUUGCAAGAAGGGUCAUCUUCACACAAUCCCAUGUAAUGAACAAGAAUGGGAUAAAGAGUUGGCUUACAAUCGCCACUUCACACAAUACAUAAAUAAAUCAUGCAUCAACCAGAGUACACACAUAGGUCCGACUACGGAACCAAAAGAAAAGAAGACAACCCCAAAUGCCAGAUCCCUGAUCGUCCCAACUGGGCACCACUACUGAUCAACAUGAAAAGAAACAUAGUAACGACCACGGUCCUCGUCGAACUCCCACUUGAGCUCGGUUGCGUCGCCUGCACUGGUAUCGUCGGCACCUGCAACUGUUUUGGUAGAAUUUGUGAGUCACGAGGACUCAGCAAUCUCACACCCGCGAGAUCAAGACUAUUUAAGCUUAUAGGAAAGGAUGGGGUAAUGAGGUGGAGCUGCAGCAAGCACUAAGUAGAUGGUGGCUAACAUACGCAAAUGAGAGCGAGAAGAGAAGCAACGCAACGAUCGCGAAGCUAGAAAUGAUCAAGAAGUGAUCCUGAAACUACUUACGUUCAUACAUAACCCAAACCGUGUUCACUUCCCGGGCUCCGCCGAAAAGAGACCAUCACGGCUACACACACAGUUGAUGUAUUUUAAUUAAGUCAAGUGUCAAGUUCUCUACAACCGGGCAUUAACAAAUUCCCAUCUUCCUCAUAACCGUGGGCACGGCUUUCGAAAGAUAAUACCCUGCAGGGGUGUCCCAACUUAGCCCAUUAUAAGCUCUCACGGUCAACGAAGGAUAUUCCUUCUCCCAGGAAGACCCGAUCAGUCUCAGAAUCCCGGUUGACAAGACAUUUCGACAAUGGUAAAACAAGACCAGCAAAGCCGCCCGAUGCGCCGACAAUCCCGAUAGGAGCUGCACAUAUCUCGUUCUCAGGGCAACACCGGAUGAGACAUCCUACGAGUAAAACCAGCCCUCAAGUUUACCCGAGGUGGCCCCGCGGUCUACUCGGUUCAGACCAGCACUUAGAGAAGCACUGGCCCGGGGGGGUAAAAUAAAAAUGACCCUCGGGAUGCGCGACUCCCAAGGGAAAAGGCUAGGUGAGGCAAAUGUAAAACCAAGGUUGGGCCUUGCUGGAAGAGUUUUAUUCAAAGCGAACUGUCAAGGGGGUCCCAUAAAUCACCCAACCGCGUAAGGGACGCAAAAUCAAGGAAUAUAACACCGGUAUGACGGAAACUAGGGCGGCAAGAGUGGAACAAAACACUGGGCAUAAGGUCGAGCCUUCCACCCUUUACCAAAUAUAUAGAUGCAUUAAUUAAAUAAGAGAUAUUGUGAUAUUCCCAAAAUAUCCAUGUUCCAACAUGGAGCAAACUUCAUCUUCACCUGCAACUAUCAACGCUAUAAGAGGGGCUGAGCAAAAGCGGUAACAUAGCCAAACAACGUUUUGCUAGGAAAGGUGGGUUAGAGGUUUGACAUGGCAAUAUGGGAGGCAUGGUAUAGCAAGUGGUAGGUAGCGCGACAUAGCAAUAGAGCGAACAACUAGCAAGCAAAGAUAGAAGUGAUUUCGAGAGUAUGGUCAUCUUGCCUGAGAUCCCGCAAGGAAGAAGAACGAGUCCAAGAAGAAGAUGAACGGGCGUAGUCGAACGAAUCCUCACAACUCCGAAAGGAAACCGAAGCUAACGAGAGAAGCAACCCGGAAAGAGGCAAACAACAUAGUAAACAACCACCACAUACACAUGGCAUGAUGCACAAACAAGUAUGAUGCAUGUCCGAUUUAAAUAGCAUGGCAUGGCAAAGUGCAACAAACAACACUACAAAUUAAGUGGAGCUCAAUAUGCAACGAGUUGCAUAUUGACGAAACUUCACAACAUUUAUUUAGUUCGCUCUUGUUUAUGUAUCCAACAAUAUUAAAUGUUUUUAAACAUGGCAAGGGGUGAAGCAUAUGAAAACUACCUAUCUAGGCAAGUUUAAAUGAGGCCGGAACAACAAACAACAAUACCAGAAAAUCCCCAUAUGCAUAUUUUGGAUUUGGUACUGUUCUGCCCUAAACCAUAUUUUAGAGUUGUUAAACAUGCAAAGUAAUGCCACCAUGUUAAACUAGACAUUUUUUCCACCCCAUUUACAUAUCAAGUUUAUUAAAUUCGGAGAUACGGUUAUUUAGUUAUGAAAUAAAUCAUUUUAGCAUGGCAUUUGAGCAAACUUAAACAAACAGCAUUUUAAACAUUUUAAACAGGGGUGAAAGUUGCAUAUUAUGAAACUAGACAGAAUUCUACGCAUUUUACAUAUUAAAAUCAUUUUAAACCGAUGCACCAUUUGUGAGUUAUUAAAUGCAUGAUCUAGAGGGACUUUUCUGUAAAACAGGUAAAUCACUGGAUAAUUGAUAAAACCGCAGGCAGGAAAAAAAAACUACAUCGGGCCAAAUCUGACUGGCCCGAUGGGAGCAUGGGCGCUGGAAGCUCACCCAGCUGGCCCUGGCCCAGGGCGGUGGGAAGGUGAGGCCGGAAAGGGGGCGCUGGGCCUGGAGCUGGACUUGGCGAAAACGCGGUCAACGCGAGGCGAGGCGAGCGAGCUGCUGCUCGUUACUGAAGAACAGAGGCGACAACAGCAGGUUUAUGGCGACGGACGGCGGGAACGGCUGCCGGCGACGUGGGACUUGGGCGCGACGCUGGAGAGGAGGCAGGCUGCGGACGCGGCAGGAGGCAAGGGCUCGUGCUCGUCCUCGUCUCCGUGAAGCAGAACGACGACGACGGACUUGGCGUGAGCUCCUGGCAACAGGGAGGGGCGCGGUGAACGCUCAAACGACUCGAAGCAGAGGCAGGAGCGUCCUCCUCCUGCUCGAUGCAGAAGCAGAGGAAGAAGGCGCGGCGGCGCAGAAACUUGGCGGACGGAGGCGAGCGGCAAUGGGCGUCAGGAGGUGCGGGGAAGGCCGGGACGGUCCCGAUCUGGGAGGACCCGAGGCGGACGAGCGGUUCCUGGUGGUGGCUUGAGCGUCGGCGGCCAUGGAGCUCCAUGUGCCCCUGUGUUCCCUGCGAGAGAGAGGAAGUAGGGAGAUGAGAGGGAGAGAGAGAAAGCGAAGGGAAGGGAGAAGAGACAAGGGCGCGCGGGGAACUCAUCUGCUGGCAAUGGUGAGCUGCGGCUUGCUUGGGGACAGAAGGACGGGCGCCACGCUCGGGGUUGCUGGUGCUGCUAAACAUCGGGAGGACGGAGAGGACAGAGCAAGGCGGCGGUGGAGCAUCUGGGCACGAGGAAGUGGCCUGGUGGUGCGGUGGUCGGUGGCUGGCCUCGGGAGGAGCUCGUGCUGAACCGGCGGGUGGCGCUACAGCAGGAUGGAGUUGGAUUGGUGAGUGGCUGCGAGAUGUGGUUGGAUCGGGGAUGCAAAACGAGGAGGUGGUUGGUUCGGCCGGGUGGGGUGGAUGGAUUGGAUCAGGGAGGAUCCCGAUGUAGAUGGUGGCGGCACUAGGGUAGGAUCCCUAGAAAUUGGGUGGUUUGUCUAGGUUAGGUUAGGGGGUCUAUAUAUAGCAAGUCGGUUUUUGGAUAAGGGCAUUUGGUCCCUCCGAUCUUAAUCGGACUGUCCCGGAAAAAUAGGCUAGGGAGACCAAACAAGAAAACGGAGAUGUUAUAUAGAUGUUUGGGGAUAAUCUGGACCCAACUGUAACAACAAACCGGGUCGGGUACGGGACAACUUUCGGACGCGCGGGAGGGGAUCGCGGGCUGACGAGAGAUGUUAGUUGGUUUGACAAGAGGGAACCGAAAACACGGUUGGUCUCGGAACGGUCAAUGGAGACAAGGGGGGGACGCGGCAACUACGAACGAAUGCAAGUUUUAAAAACAAAGACGGUAACGAAUGCCGAUGCAAUGCGGAUGAUGCCAUGAUGAAAUGCAACAAACAAAAUAAAACACACGGUGACAACAAGGUGGUUGGAAGACUUCUGGAGCGUCGGUCUUGGGGCGUUACAGUUACGCUCAACCAUCGACACACACCCUUACAAGCGGGGUCCACAGCAACCCAUAGCCACUGACGCACCAGGACGCUCCAAAUCUAGGGAGCUUAGUAUCUGCAAAUUAGAUGUCUAUUCUAGGAGAAGAUCUAAAAUGAGCAUAUGUGUAUUUAUGGAAUAUAGAGAGCAUUAAUACCAUGAGCUACAAAACGAGCACCACUAUAUCCUAGUGCAUUCUAUGGGCACUCAACAUUUGGAUAUCCAUGAUCAAGCUAUGUUGCAAUCAUGAAUCUAUGAAUGAGAUCCAUGUUAUAUGUUAGACUUCGACGUUGUGUUGCAUUAAUGAAUCUAUGUAUGAGACCAAUCUUGGAUAUGCAUGAUCAAGUUGUGUUGCAUUAAUGAGUCUCGAUGUUAUAUGUGUUACUAUGAGAAGAUCUAAAAUGAGUAUCUAUGUAUUUGUGGAACAUAGAGAGCGUUAAUACGACGAGAUCCGAAAUGAGCACCUAUAUAUCCGUGUGCAUUCUACAGACAUUCAUCAUUUAGAUAUCACUGAUCGGGCUACAUUAAUGAAUCUGUGGAUGAGAUCCAUCUUGGAUAUCCAUGUUCAAGUUUUGUUGCAGUAAUGAGUCUAUGGAUGCUAGAUGUGUUACUAUGAAAAGAUCUAAAAUGAGCAUUUGUGUAUUUGUGGAACAUAGAGAGCAUUAAUACAAUGAGUUCCAAAAUGAGCACCAGUAUAUCCAUGUGCAUUCCACUGACACUCAUCAUUUGGAUAUCCAUGAUCAAGCAAUGUUACAUUAAAGAAUAUGUGGAAGCUACAUGUGUAUUAAAAAAGAAAAUCUGAAAUGAGCAUCAAUUGUAUUUGUGAAUAUAAAGGGCAUUAUUACCAGGAGGUGGAAAAUGUGCACAGGUUGGACACUAAUUAAUAUGCAUAUCUGUGAUCGACCGGCAUACUGCAUUUAUGAAUUCUCAGUGCACGCACUAUAAAUAAAACUCAACUUCAUGAACACCUCCAUCCAUCCAUCUCUACAAUACACAUCCUUCUCUAUCCAUUUCACUCCAUCUCCCUCUGCUUCAAUAUAGUUAAAGGUUUCUAUCUUAGCUAGCCUUCUAGCAAUGGCAACAAUGGCGCCGACCUCCAUCGUCUUCUCCGUGGUCGUCUUCCUGCUCCUUUCCAAUGCCAUCACCACUCAAGCCGGCGGCUCUGGCAGUGGCAAACCUAAGGCAACAAGCCUCAUAGUGGAAGCGUGCAAGAACGCCUCAGGCGAGAGCCAAGACACCGGUGUCACAAAGGAAUUCUGUUUGUCGACCCUCCAGUUGGACAGUCGGAGCGCCAAGGCUAAAGACCUCUGUGACUUGGUGGUCAUCUCGAUUGACAUCCUGAAGGGCCGUGUCAGUGAUGCUGGCGUCAAGGUAAAGAAAAUGCUGCAAAACGCCAAGAAAGGCACGCUGACAAUGUAUGCUCUCAGCAU